UUAUUUAAAUAAUUCAUCACAAUUAAUUAUCGACCCAAAACUUAAUUAGAAGCCCCAAAGCUUAAUUAUUUCUCCACUUUAUAUCUCCAAUUAAAAGUUUAAAGCCCAAAAUAAAAUAAAUGGAGUCUAACUAAACAAAUCAUCCAUUUUUAAUUAAAGAAGCCCAAUUCUUUUAAAACCAAAGGCCCAACAUCUACUUAGAGAAAAAGACCAACCCAUUUCAAUAACUAAAUUAGUCCAUAUACUCCCCCUUCCACCACACGUAUCAUCUACUCUCUCUCACCUAAAUUACUAUUCAUAUUCUUCCCCAAAUUGCACAAAUUAGGAAAAUCUCCCUUCCCAUUUUAAAGUUUCCGUCGACCAGCAGCCACCCCACCGGCGCCGUCUCCGCCUCCGUCUCCGUCUCCACUCUCUCCCUCUUAUCUCCUCUCUCAGCCUCACGCCGUCGCUCGCCACCCCCCUCCGCUGGUCCAGAUUCGUCGCACCGCCACCACCGCUGCGGGUCUGCCGACGCCGUGGGUUCGCGCCCCGCCGUCACCGAGGAUCUCCUCCCGUUCAGAUCAGCCGCCGCCGUCGCGGACUCCUCUCUCCAGGGUCUGCCGCCGCCGCCGCCACUGUGCAUGCACAGGCGGCGGCUUCAGCCUCCUCCGCGCCUCGCACCGCCGGCCGCUGCCACAGCCGAGACCUCUCCCAGCCGCCGACAUCGAUUCCCGAUAGAUUCAAAGGAGUGAAAAAGGACAGACGUGUUUUUGGAGCGUGGGCUGUCAUCGUUGGUGACGGAGUGCUGAACUCGCUGCCGGAAGUUUUCUCCGGCAGACUCAUAUAUUGUUUCUAGAUAAGAUCCUAUCAUCUUUUGGAAAUUUGCCAUUCUUAUGCUCAGAUGCUAUAGUAAGCAACUAUAUUCUUGAUUUACUAAAUUGUCUAUGUGCAACAUAAUUGAUAUUAUGGUUUGGGCAGAUGAUACGUUUUGCCUAUAUGUAAUGUUUCAAUAUGGGGGAAAAGUGAGGUGUGGGUACUCACCUUUGUGUGAUUGUGAGAAGGACUUGUUGGAUUUGUCUCUUUUAUGAUAUGCAAAAGUCCCGAUGAAUUACUUCAUUCUCCUGCUUCGACUUUGUUGGAAGAUGUUGUGGAAUUAAAUGGUGUUGUGAUGUGUGUGUAUGAUUCGUAUGUGUGUAUGCUGUACAUAUACAGCAUAGAUAUGGAUCUUGUGGAGAUAUCUUUCAAAAUAAAGGAUAAGGAUGCAAGUGGAGAUAAGGAUACAAGUGGAGAUAUUAUAAUUCCUUCUGACAUGCAAUUAAUGCAUGCAUUUAUGGUGUAUAUGAAAAAUUGAUCCCUCCGGAUCUGCUACCCUCUUUUUUUUAUUUUAUUUAAGUAAUUAUCUAAGUAUUUAUUUAUUUGUUUAUUUAAUUUGGUGUAGGUAUAAUCGGUUCAAGUUCGUGGCCGUUCGUGUUGAAGUACCCGCUUCCAUACGAUGUAUAAAUUAACUUUUGUUGGACUUUUGUUGGAUGUAUCGGACAUUAAAAUUUUUAUUUGGUGUUAAAAUUUUUUUUUUUCCUUUUA